rnacentral:lncRNA from 1 species
AUUUUUUUGCAAUUUUACUACAACCAACAUAGCAUAAGGAUCCCUCUACAUAUUCACUCAACUAAAAUUUUCAAAAAUCUCACAAUUAUUUCAUUCAUACGGUUCAGAAUACAAAAAUGUAAUAUAAUGUUCAAUUAUCUUAAUAAAAUAAUUUUUUAUAUCAUUUCAUCUAUGUUAAGAAUGUGGAGACUUGACUGUUGUUGCUGUGAAGUCUACAAACUUGUCUAAUUGCAUAGUCCCACAACUGCCCAUGUUUCAUUUAACUACCAGCCCUUUACGUU